CUGUCCCACCAAUAGUCCAAGCGAAACGUCCAUCCUUAAUCUAGAUGUUGGCGAUGUUCCUCCUAAUUGCCUUUCCUACGCGUCCACGCUGCAAUCCAUCUAAACAGAACCAUACAAUCCAGCCUCUCCCCAAUCCUCCUCCUCUCCAACCUUACUAUUUCUGCAAUCUAAGCUGCAAUCCAUGUUGGACGAUGAGAAGGCGGCGCAUCGCAGUGUGAAUCAGUCGUGCUGCCGCCGGAGGCCAGCCUGAUGGCUUCCUUCUCCUCAAUCUAAUCGCUGCCUCAUCUCCACCAAUCUCUGGUGUUGAAAGUGGCUCUCCACCAAUCGUGCCUCAUCUCAAUCCUGUGAUGUUGCGUCCCCAGGAUCUCACCCAUUUGUUCCCCACUGGUCUCGGGUAGGUUCUCAUCUCCUACAAUUUUCUUUGUCCAAGAUUCUAACCUUCGUUUCCUCCUGGACUCGGUGAUGGUUGCAUCCCAGAUUCCUCUCGAUAGCAGGUGAAUUUGCCCUCCUCUAUGCCUUUAAUUUUUUCUCCUUCGUUUCCUCCUAGAUCUAAGUGAUGGUUGCAUCCCGGAUUCCUCUCCAUAGCAGGUAAAUCUGCCCACCUGUACGCCUUUAAUUUUUUUCUAUUCUUGAUACUACAUUGGUGGUUCAGAUUUUAAUCUCAAGUGACAUAUAGAUAUAUGUUUGAUGGGGCGUUGUGCUAUGGAUGCUUAUAUCGAUGCAUUUAUCUUCUAUUAAUUAUUUCAUUGAUGUUCCAGCUCAGCCGUUAAUGUCAAUGGAUACGCAAAAUCUUCCGCACAAAUAUAUCAUCCGAAGAACUUAAUUGUUCACCCGCAAAAAAAAAGAACUUAAUUGUUGGCCCACUCCUAUCAAUUGUGCUUUAUGGUGAAACGGACCAGGCCAUCAAGAAUACACUCCUAGGAUUUAUACAGUGAGAUUUUUUAAGAUGAAGUUACAUUCAGUUUUGUAAGAGUGCAUUUUAUAAUGUUAUGCAAUACUGCGACUUUUCAUAACCAAUCAAUCUGAAAACCAUAUUAUGAUUUUUUUUUCCAUUUUACAAAUACUUUGUACAGCAACACUGCCAAAUACUAUUUAUUUGAUUUUAUAGGCAAGUCAAUAAAGAUAUGAGUAUUCAUGUUUAUAGCCUACUACAGUGAGGUAGUGCCAAGCCUUAGCUGUACUAUACUAACAUUAAAUUUUACAUAAAUGUUAAAUACUGAAGUUCUGGGCACUACCGCAAUGGGAUUUUAUUGUCUCUUCCUUAUGUGGAACCCUUCUCCGGAGAUAACUACUCCCUGUGUUACAUGGUGUGAUAGAUUUUAGAGAAUCAUGCUUGCAGCUUUAUCAUUCAGUAAGGUAUAUUUGAUGGCCCCCUCUAGUAAAAAGAAAAUUCCCCUGUUCCAUUCCAUAUUCCCAUUAUUCGUCGAGAAUUAUAGGGUGCAUAUUUUUAGCAUACUUCUCUUGCCUCCAGAAUGAAAUUUCUAAGAAAAUUGUAAUGUUGUGCCUCUUCUUAACUAGGACUGAUGCAUCCAGCCGAGGAAUAUGAGUGCUAGAUUCUGAGAGGUAACAAAUAGUGUUAGUUUUCAGUAUGAAUUCGCAUAAUCUUUAUGGAUUUUCUUUGCAAUUCCAUGAGUCUGUAUACCCUUUUUUUUUGCCAUCCGCCCAUCCUUUAGGUGUUGUUAUCUGUAGUCAAUUGGUGAAAGAAAUGGAUGCGAUCAUUUGACAUACCAUGGAGUAUAAUUUCCACAUGAGAUUCUCAAAAAAAAAAAUUCCACAUGACAUGCUUAAUAGACUUUUCUACCAUCUGUUAAGUGAUUAUUACCUAAAUUACAGUAACUUCAGUUCACAACAGGUAUACCUUGAUGGACGUGGUGCUACGGAUGCUUAUAUCGAUGAAUUUAUCUUCCAUUAAUUGAUACAUUGAUGUUCCAGCUCAGCCUUUAAUGUCAAUGGGUACACAAAAACUUCCGCAUGAAUAUAUUAUCUGAAGAAUCUAAUUGAUAGCCCGCCCCUAUUGACUGUGCUUUAUGGUGAAACAGAUCAAGCCAUCAAGAAUACAGUCAUAGGAUUUAUACAGUGAAGUUACUUUCAGAUUUUUUUAAGACGUUCAAUCAGUUUAGUAAUACUGUGUUUAUAAUGUUAUUGUUAACUGCAAAUGAUCAUAAUCAAUCAAUCCGACACCAUAUUAAGUUCUUUCUAUUUUAAAAAUACUUGGUACAGAAAAUAGUGCCAAAUACUAUUUUUUUAAUUUUAUAGGCAAGACAAUAAAUAUAUGAGUAUUCAUGUUUAUAGUCUACUAUGUGAGAUAGUGCCAAGCUUUAGAUGUGCCAUAUUGACAUUAAAUUAUACCUAAAUGUUAAAUAUUAGAAAAAGUUUUGGGCACUACUUCAAUGGAAUUUUAUUGUGUCUUCCUUAUGUGGAACCCUUCUCCGGAGAAAAUUGCUCCCUGUGUUACAUCGUGUAAUCGAUUUCAGAGAAGCAUGCCGGCAGCUUUAGUUAUUCAGUAAGGUAUAUUUUAUGGCUCCCUUUGGUAGAAAAAAUCCCCUGUUCCAUUAAUUAUAGGGUGCAUAUUGUUAGCGUACUUCUCUUGCCUCCAAAAUACAAUUUCUAAGCAAAUGGAAAUGUUAUGAUUCUUCUUAACUCAGAGUGAUGCAUCCAGCCAAGAAAUAUGAGUGCAAUAUCUGUAGAGGUAACAAAUAGUGUUAGUUUUCAGUAUGACUUCCACAUAAUCUAUUUAUGGAUUUUCUUUGCAAUUCCAUGAGUCCAUACACCAUUUUUGUUGGCCUUCCGCCCAUCCUUUAGGUUUUAUUAUCUGCAGUCAAUUGGUAAAAGAUAUGAAUGCCAUCAUUUGACAUAGCAUGGAGAUUGGAGUAUAAUUUCCACAUGACAUGCUCAAGAGGCUUUUCUAUCAUCUAUUAGGUGAUUACCAAAAUUAAGAUAACUGCAGUUCACAACAGGUAUAGUAUAGUACAACUCCGAUGCUCUGUAUAGGGACAUUAGCUAGCUGCAUAUAUCUUCAAAUACCAGUUCUUUUGGCAUGCUGGAGUCUGGAGAUACCACAUUCAUGUUCUUUGAUGUGAAUCCAUCAUCCUAUAUCCCCGUUUUUCUGACUUUCUCUUGCAGAAAGCCUGAUAGACCAACUACGAACAAGCUUAGUGUGAGGUAUAUAUGUACAUUGCUUUGUACACAUUUCGCAAUAAAAGUACACAGUCCGUAGAUACCCAGCAUAGUAGAAAGCUGGAAGUCGUUGAUGCUUAAUGCAAUGGUGCACUGAUCUCAUGUUUGUUCCGAAAAAAUGCUCAUUUUGUGUACCUAGGCGUCAUGUUUCUUAUUCCAAACUUCCUUUCAAGAAAACAAUUGGUAACUAUUUUGUCUACUGCGAAGAAAACUCAAUUUGCUGCUGAGGACAAAACUGGCUAACAGAUUUAUUUACUUGGAGGUAUUUUCAGAUCGAAAGUCCAAACCACUUUGUCUGCUGCAAUGAAAACUCUAUUUGAUGCUGAGGACAAAACUGACAACAAAUUGAUUUACUUGGCGAAAGAAAUAAACAACAGCAGCAGUUUACAUGUACUCCCUCCGUAAUAUAAGAGCGUUUAGAUCACUACACUCUUAUAUUUUACGGAGGAAGUACAUGCUAGGAAGUGGUGACCAAUCGACUAAGUCUUAUCGGAGGAGAUUGGAUGUUAUUAUAAUAACAGAGUACAAUAAUGGACGGUUGGCGUACAGCUUAAUCCCAGGUGGCGUACAGUGCGGAAGGAGUAUAGUUGGUAGCUUGGGUUUCAGAGUCACUUGCUGAUACUGAAGCUAUUCUGGCGGGGGAAUUGAUGGGAUUUAAUGAAAAUUUAUUUGAGGUAAUAUUCCAUUUUCUAUUUUCUAGAUUUUAUUUUGGACGACAUGUUUCCCUGCUUUGUUCGAAUGUCCAUGCAUUCUCCACAUUCUUCUUUUGUACUAACAAGAAUGCACCGUACCCAAAAUCCAAGAAACUAAUUUAUUACUUGCAUUUAUGUACUGAAUUUGUCACUGCAUUUAUGUAUCUUAGUGGUAAAUUGGAUCGCCAAAAAUUUGUGCCGUUGUCUCUUGAUUUCAGAAGGACCAUGUAGUAUUGGACACCUUCGAAGCUACUACAUAGCCGUAGCACAUACCAUGGAGUAUUAUGAUGUUUCUGACGCAUGCAUAUUUGUACUUCAAAACUACUAAAAGUAGUAUAUAUUUUUUCUGGGAAUUUUAUAGCAAAAUCUAUACAUUUAAAUGCUCAAUGCCUAAAACCUUCUAUCCUCUUUGUAAAUUAUUCCUAUACACAGAAAUUGGUUUUUUUAUCCUGUCAGUUAGAAGGGAAAAAUGGUUUGUGGUUCAUGCACGUGCUUCCAUCAAGAGAAGAAAAAACGCAUCAUCCAUCCGCACAAGAAACCGUUUCAAUAUGAUCAGUUGCUGCAAAAAAGGAAAGUUGCGGCUAAUUAAAGAGUUAUGAUCAUUUGUCGAGGUCAUUCAUGUGCGGGACAGUAGCUAGAUUUGGAGCCUGAUUUGAGUUCGCAGUUCACACCAUAGUUUUUAUUUGUUAACAGUAAUGAUCCAAACGGGUGCUAAAUCAAUUUUGAAUAUGUUGUUAGUUUAAGCAACAUUGUAAUGUGCUAUAAGAUGCAAAAUAGACUCUCACAUAUGCAUGCUCUAUAUCAUGUGUCAAGAAACUGUUCCUUAUUAUUUUCGCGAAUCUUAA